UGAAGAGACUGUGACACACUUGGUUGUCC
rnacentral:piRNA from 1 species